GCCUACGGCCAUACCACCCUGAACGCGCCCGAUCUCGUCUGAUCUCGGAAGCUAAGCAGGGUCGGGCCUGGUUAGUACUUGGAUGGGAGACCGCCUGGG
rnacentral:rRNA from 3 species